AUUGAACGCUGGCGGCAGGCUUAACACAUGCAAGUCGAGCGGGGUGAUGGUGCUUGCACUAUCACUUAGCGGCGGACGGGUGAGUAAUGCUUAGGAAUCUGCCUAUUAGUGGGGGACAACAUCUCGAAAGGGAUGCUAAUACCGCAUACGUCCUACGGGAGAAAGCAGGGGAUCACUUGUGACCUUGCGCUAAUAGAUGAGCCUAAGUCGGAUUAGCGAGUUGGUGGGGUAAAGGCCUACCAAGGCGACGAUCUGUAGCGGGUCUGAGAGGAUGAUACACCAAACGAGACUGAGACAUGUCACAGACUCCUACGGGAGGCAGCAGUGGGGGAUAUUGAACAAUGUGUGGAAGCCUGAUCCAGCCAUGACGCGUGUGUACAGAAGGCCUUAUGGUUGUAAAGCACUUUAAGCGAGGAGGAGGCUCUUUUGGUUAAUACCCAAGAUGAGUGGACGUUACUCGCAGAAUAAGCACCGGCUAACUCUGUGCCAGCCGCCGCAGUAA
rnacentral:rRNA from 1 species